CAUUGUGGGCAGAGGGAUCCUCCUCGGAUCAUCACCGGAACGAAUCUGCGAGAGGUCCGGAGAAGCACUGAGUGGCCACGGAGGGAACGUCUGAGAAUCCCUAGCAAAGAAAAUGGAGUGAAACUCAAAUUUCAUCGACACUCUUUUAUGUCAGAGUGGCUAAAACUCUGUCUUGUGUUGUGCUGUAAGUUAAAACUGGCUUCAUUCAGUACCAGGUGAGAUCCUGACUCUGUUAAGCCAGUAUAGAAAACAGGAGUGGGCCCAGUGCUGAGCCCUGGGAAACACCACUGGUGACCAGCUGCCAACUGGAUUUCACUCCAUCCCCACUGCUCUUCAAGCCUGGCCAUCAGGUAGUUUUUUACCCACCUGAGCCAUGAGUUUCUCCAAGAGGAUGCUGUAGAAGAUGGCAUCAAAGGCUUCCUGGAGUCCAGCAGGUGUACCUCUGCAGGGACCAUGGCCCAAGGAUAAAUCCAGACUGGAGAAAGUACACCUCAAAGCAUCUGUGGCUGUGGAUUUGUCCAUGCUGCAAGUACCCUUCAAAGCAUGAAUGGCUGUGCAUGAGGUCAUGCUGGAGAUCUCGAAGUGUGUGGCCAUGAGUAAGCCCAGAAUAGAGCAGGUACCCCCCUGGAGGGACUGUAGCCAUGGGUAAGGUCACCUUGGAGCAGGUUUACUUCUGAAGGGUCUGUGCCUGUGGGUACAGCCACACUUCAGCAGGUGUAUCUCUGAAGGCACGCUGGAACAGGUGCAGCUCCAAGUGACUGGCUGUGGGUAAGGCUGUGUUACAGCAGGUACACCCCUGGGGAGGCUGUGGCUCAUAGCUAAAGCUCCACUUAGAGCAGGUACACCCCUAAGAAACUGCAGCCUGUGGCUAGGUCCAAGUUGAGUGGCAGCAUGGGGAGGAGCUCCUUGCAAUGCUAAACCACAUGGUGUGGUCCAAAGGCAUCCAGGCUGGGGAUUCACUGAAUUACAGGACGCAUUGAGUUGAAAGAGACCCUUGAAAGUCAUCUUGUCCAGCCCUCCUGCAGUGACAUCUUCAAGUAGAUCAGGUUGCUCAGGGCCCCAUCAACUUUGACCUUGAAUAUCUCCAGGGAUGGAACCUCCACCACAUCUUUGGAUGCAAAAAUGUUAAUGGAAAUGCCUUUAAAUGGCUGUGGCCCGGGCCCUGAGCUGUGUGGUGCCCUGUGGCUUAUAAACACUUCAUCAGUGUGUGUGAAGAGCUGAAGGGAGGGUGGAGUCAGGCUUCUUUCACUGGUGCCCAGUGCCACCUCAAGAGAGAGAGCACAAACUGACACACAGAGCUUCCCCUCUGAAAACUAAGAAAACAUUCUGCUGUGAGAGUGACCAAGCACUGGGACACUUCCUGGAGCCAUUGUGAACUCUCCACCCUUGGAGAAGUUCAAAACCCAGACAAAAGCCUCUUUCAUACUGAGGAGUGCUUCACAACCCUGGGACUUGGACCACAUACCGAAAAAAACCCCACUUAAGGUCU